rnacentral:rRNA from 1 species
UACGAAGGGGGCUAGCGUUGCUCGGAAUUACUGGGCGUAAAGCGCACGUAGGCGGCUCUUUAAGUCGGAGGUGAAAUCCUGGAGCUCAACUCCAGAACUGCCUUCGAUACUGUAGAGCUUGAGUUCGGGAGAGGUGAGUGGAACUGCGAGUGUAGAGGUGAAAUUCGUAGAUAUUGGGAAGAACACCGAUGGCGAAGGCAGCCAUCUGGACCGACACUGACGCUGAGGCGCGAAAGCGUGGGGAGCAAACAGG